GGUCUAUUAUAGUAUUUAAUAUUGUGUGAUUUCAGGUGUUGUGGAGCUAUACUAUAUGAGGUUAUAACAUUUGUUUUGUUUUUGCUUUUAUCUCCUUGCCAUGGUCUGAAGAAGCCAUAUUGUUGUAAGGUUGAUGACAAAUGAGGUCAUGGCCUGUUUCAGUAUGAAGUGGGGGAAGGGGAAGCUUGCCUUCACCAAGAUCAAUCUGUACACUGUUGUCACAGAGAGUGUCCAGAAAACAUCAAAAGAGACGGGGCAAAUAUUGCAGCGGCCACCGCCUUUUGUUUAAAAUAUGCCCCAGCAGAGCCGUCGCAAGAAGGGUGAGAGGCCCUGUGCAAAGUUGACAUGCGAGGCCCUCUACAAUUUUGCGUGUGUGUGUGUGUGUGUGUGUGGUGGGGGAGGUUGCUGUAGUAAGGCAAGGCAAGUUUAUUUAUAUAGCAGAUUUCGUACACAAUGGUAAUUCAAAG
ensembl:lncRNA